UUGCGGCAUGCUAAACAUGCAAGUCGCUCGGAGAGUGGGGCAACUCACCCUCAGUGGCAAACGGGUGAGUAACGCGUGAAUAACCUGCCUUUGAGAAGGGGAUAACUGUCCGAAAGGAUAGCUAAUACCCUAUAUUGCCUUUUGUCACUAAGGCAAAAGGUGGAAGCGAGGCUGUCAAAGGCUUCGGCUCAAAGAGGAGUUCGCGUCCUAUCAGGUAGUUGGUGGGGUAAUGGCCUACCAAGCCAAUGACGGGUAGCUGGUCUUAGAGGAUGAUCAGCCACAGUGGGACUGAGACACGGCCCGCACCCCUACGGGGGGCAGCAGUGGGGAAUCGUGGGCAAUGGGCGCAAGCCUGACCCCGCAAUGCCGCGUGAGGGAAGAAGCCCUUCGGGGUGUAAACCUCUGUCAGAUGGGAAGAUGGGACUAGGGGCUAAUACCUCCUGGUCUUGACGGUACCAUCAGAGGAAGGGACGGCUAAACUACGUGCCAGCAGCCGCGGUAAU
rnacentral:rRNA from 1 species